CCUACGGGAGGCAGCAGUGGGGAAUAUUGGACAAUGGGGGGAACCCUGAUCCAGCAAUGCCGCGUGUGUGAAGAAGGCCUGAGGGUCGUAAAGCACUUUCAGUGGGGAGGAGGAUGCUUAGGUUAAGAGCUAGAGUAUUGGACGUUACCCACAGAAGAAGCACCGGCUAACUCCGUGCCAGCAGCCGCGGUAAUACGGAGGGUGCGAGCGUUAAUCGGAAUUACUGGGCGUAAAGGGUGCGUAGGUGGUUGAUUAAGUUAUCUGUGAAAUCCCCGGGCUCAACCUGGGCAGGUCAGAUAAUACUGAUUGACUCGAGUAUAGGAGAGGGUAGUGGAAUUUCCGGUGUAGCGGUGAAAUGCGUAGAGAUCGGAAGGAACACCAGUGGCGAAGGCGGCUACCUGGCCUAAUACUGACACUGAGGCACGAAAGCGUGGGGAGCAAACAGGAUUAGAUACCCUGGUAGUCCACGCUGUAAACGAUGUCAACUAGCUGUUGGUUAUAUGAAUAUAAUUAGUGGCGCAGCAAAACGCGAUAAGUUGACCGCCUGGGGAGUACGGUCGCAAGAUUAAAAACUCAAAAUGAAAUUGACGG
rnacentral:rRNA from 1 species